UGAAGUCAAAACUCCAGAUCAACACAGCUUUCUUGUGCAAGUAGUGACAGUGAGAGCUUAACAGCCAACAUGGCCAUUAACAGAGGCCAGGAACAAUACAUCAAGUUUCUAUGAGCUCAUUUGGAUAAGAGAACGAUAGCUGCCCAAGCUUUGGCAAGGGUAUUCGCAGUCUAUCCCUGGACUACCAGGCUGCUUAAAAGUUUCAAAGGCCGUUAUGGAGCCUGUGACCCUGGCGUUCUGGCUCAUGCAGAGAAGGUGCAAUCAGCUCUGUCAAAAGCAGUAACGGAUUUGAAAAAAGUCAGUAAUACUUUCAGCCAGCUCGGCAGUGAUCAUCAAAAAAUUGGAGUGGACACUCAAAAUUUCAAGCUUCAUUAUUGAACUCGCUCUUCAUGAAAAAAAGGAUUUGGACCAGAGGAACAUGAGGCUGCCUACAAGAUUUUUAAACUGGUGGCAGAAGCUCUCUCCAGCAACUACCAAUAAAUCUAUAACCUGCAUCCUUCACCACCUUCAGAAAUAUAAUGAAAACAUGUAUUAUCAGCAUCUAUAAUGUGUUGUUUGUUUAAAGGACUUGUGUAAUAUCAGAUUCAAGUCAUGCUAAUGUAAAGGUGAUACAAUAUUCCUCUUUACUUGGCCAUUUCUCCUCAAUGUUUGGAAAAUAUCUGUAUGAAUUCCCUUUUAUACAAUAAAGAAACAAUAUUUCUCUCACA